rnacentral:misc_RNA from 1 species
GGCCAAGGUACCCUUUUUAUUUUGAUUAUGUUUAUACAGUGGUUUGGUUGCAAUUAUAAAAUAUUCUAUACCCUUUACCUGUAUUCAACUUUUAGAUUGGUCUGUUGUUCUGUUUGCUCAGUAAUUUCUUUUAUAACAUUUUCAACUUGGUUAGCAUUUCUUGACUAAUGUUUGGCUUCAGUGAACGCCCAAAUAAAUUUCAUUAACAUGAUUCUCUUGGAAGUAUUUAAAAGUGCAAAAAUUGUUGACAUGCUUGUUUCCAAUUCCAGUCUAUUUCAUCAUAUUUAGCAUCUAAUUUAUACACUGAAAUAAUUUUCUCUUGUCUAGAUGCAACUGAUGAGAUGUUCUUUUGUGAUAUCUCAUAUUAUUUUUGUUUUAUUUAUUGGUUUGUUGCAUAAAUAAAAUUAGGAAUCUUUUAAAGCCAUUGAUCCUCGGCUGCUAAUAAAAAUCAAACUGUGUGUAGGAUGGAUUUCAAGAUGA